rnacentral:lncRNA from 14 species
GUAUCCACUGAUGUAUUUUAGGAACAAGCAACGACCACAUGCAACUAGGCCUCAUAAGAGUUAAGGAAAAGAAAACUCUCCCCAAAUCCUGUUCUAGGAAGUAUUCUGUGCUUCACUUUACUGGAAGAUUAUUUGCCUCUACGCAGACCGCAGUGUGCAACCAGGAAAAAUGGCUCAGAUUCGAGAUAACCAAACUUCCCGCUAAUCACAACUUCAGCUCCUUAAAUUCCUUCUGUAGCAUCUCCACAAAUGUGGGGGUUUAGUCUUUGUUCAUGAAGCAGGGCACAGAGACGAGCCUCGGAAAGGCCGGGACGGUCCCUUGCCUGCCGCGGGGAACUGGGAGCAGGUUCCACACGAGGCCUACUGCAGAAGGGUAAAGAGGAUCCCGUGCCCAAAAUGAAGACCGGUUUCAGCCGCACCGGGGGCAAUACUUGCCCUACCAACCCUCUGGCCCUCCCGGCCUGUCUGCUAAUGCUCGUAAAGAGCAAACUUCGGAAGGAAGCAAGAGACCACCCCCGAAGCGAAGCACCCGGGAGCUCCUUCUCCCUCCACCUCCCCCCCUCCGGCAGCCCGGCCCUCGCAAAGCCGAGCCAGGCUCCUUCAGGCGCCGGCUCCCUCACAGCCAAAGCAGCCUCUUCGGAGAAAGAGAGAGGGAGAGAGGUAACCCCGCGCCCAGGAGGCCCGAGCAGGGAAGGGAAGGAUGAGGAAGGAGAUGGAGCGGGGUUAUAACCCAGCCCGUGUAGAGGAGGCAGCAGCCGCCGCCGCCGCCUCCUCCCGACCAUUGAUUGAUCCACUCGGUGCUGCUGAUUGAUGAUUGAUGGGGGCCGGGGCGGGGGUCAGGCCGGGGGGGUGGGGGGGGGAGGGGAAGGAGGGGGCGGGAAGGAAUAGGAAGAGAAGGGAAGGGGGGGGGAAGAGGCAGGGACCGGUGUGGGAUCCGGGGGAAGGGGGGGAUGGGGCGGCUGAUCAAUGCAAAUGAGGCUGUGGCGGCGGCGGUAGCGGCGGGGAGGAGAAGCCGAGUCACUCACUGGCUCCCAGUGACUCCACGCGCCGCCAUUUUGCUGAGGGGGAAGGAGGAGGAGGGGGGACCGGGCGCUCGGGCUCGGCUCGGCAGUUUCCGACCAGGCGGCAGGCGAAGGUGGCCGAGUCCCUCCUCCUCCCUUCCCUUGUCGCUCCGCCUAUCCCACCCCGGGGCCGAGCGGCGGGCUCCGAGCGGGGAGGAGGAGGAGGAGGAGGAGGAAAGGGGCGGGCCGGCAGGCCGGGGCCGGCGAGGGUAAAAUGGCGGCGGGCGGCGGCCGUUGAGGCUGGGCGCGCACCCGGGCUGGGCGG